UUUUGCUGUAAAGUUGUUUAGUAAAUAUUUACUUUUGCUUAAAUGUUUGCUUUCUAUUAAAAGUUGAUGCAGCAGGGCCCCUGCCUCUUAGAGAACUGGAAGCUGACUGCAAGGGAUUAAAAAGCCUAUCAUGGUUUCUCUAGGAGGUGUGAAGGCAAAUCUCUUAAUCCAGGAUCAUCACGGACUGAUAAAUUUCAUUCAGAAAACUGGCAAACACAGGGUUCUAUCAGUGAACUCUGCUCACCUGGCAAGGGUGAAGUUACUGGAUACGAACAUCUACAACACUGGCCCCCAGAGACUGUGGAGCGGGAAAGCACCUCACUGAUCACACGGAUGGAAGAAAGGAAAAUAGGCAGAGAGCAUCUAUAUUUAGUUGCAGAGAGAAAGAGAAAAGAGACAGGGAGGAUAAGCCCACUGUCUCAGAUCCUGGUCUCUCAGUCUGUGGAAUCCAGCAGUAACCCUGCACCUGCAGCCAGGCCCUCACCCAGGACUCCCUAGCCGCAGAGCCCAGAAAGGCAGCCAAGACUGAGAUGCUUGGCAGUGGGAGCCAUUUCUUAUUAACCUGAUUGGUCUCCUCUGUGAGGACACUGUAUCCACAAGCAAAUCCCAACAUGGGAGUUGUCCGGGAGUGGAGGGGAGGAGUUGGGACACCCCCGCCCCCAACUUUCAUGCAGCCAAGCUCUGCAAGAGUCCUCUGGGCAGAAAAUUAAAAAUCAAUGUUUGAUACC